AUGAGAAAACUGAGGCAAAUAGGGUCAAAGGACUUGCCCAAGGUCACAGAGUUCAUCAUACCAAGAUUUUCUGGGAUGCUGAUUCCAUCAUUCAACAUCUCAACUAUUUCUCCCGCAUUUAAGAAAAUUGAUAAGCAUGAUAUCUGUCAUCAACAUAUUGUUGGGAAAAAUGUUGAACAGUGGAGAGUCUGCCUGGCACAUUAGAAGCCUCCAUUCAGCUAAACAUUGACAUCUUUGGGUCUGCACCCAGGAAUCGGGUUGCCUGAGAGGGACUUCCCCAGCCUCUGGGAGCUUCAAACCAGGUUCCCGCUUCAUUUCCACUCCUGACUCAGGAUGGCUGCCAUAAAGGCCUUACAGCAGUGGUGCCGGCAGCAGUGUGAAGGCUACCCCGGGGUCAGCAUCGUCAACAUGACCACCUCCUUCAGGGACGGCUUGGCCUUCUGUGCCAUCCUGCACCGGCACAGACCAGACCUCAUGUGAGUAGGGGAUGCCCUUGGCUAUGCUCAAAGAGCUCGGACAAGUGUUGGUGGCAUCUGCCAGACCGAGGUCCGGGCUGCUGUCCCAUUUCACCUUGAAUGAAACCAAGCUUCCUGCAUCCUGGUUCUCUUUGUCUCAGGACCUCCCACCAAGUAAGGGGGGUGGGCGGCGGGCGGCGGGGGGGACCUGACCACAGUCUGGCAUUUCUCUGAAAAGGGUUUAGAGGAGAGCCUGCUGGUAUUGGAAUCAGGAACACCUGGGACCAAAUCCCUCCCACUCCAUUCAGUAACUCCUGUGAAUGUGGGCAAAUCACUUACUGUUUCUGAACCUCGGUUUUCCUUGCCUAUAAAAUGGGAACAAUAAGAGCCUGAAGGUUUACUUCAGAAGGUUUUUCCGAGGUGUAAGUGAGAUAAUGUAUGUUAAGGGCUUUGAAAACUUUAAAGAGUUAUAGAGAUGUCAGUUAUUAUAGCCAACAAGCUGAAACCCCAGGAGUUCAGGCUCCUCCUCCUCCUCCCUCCUUGGCAAAAUGCAGAAAACAGAGAUUCUUGGGUCACUUGACAUAGCCCCACUGCUCCCUGCAAUAACCUGACCCUGUUACCUCAGCUCUUUAGUUACCACUACCAUGUCUCCUGCCUCUCUCGGCCCUCUGAUGAGUGAGGUGGGUAUUAGCGCCCUUUAGGUUUCUUUUGUCUGGAGACCACACUUCAGAGCCAGAGUUGUUGGAUUGAUGGAAAAGUCCCUCUUUCCCCUGGAGCCAGUUGGGCCAGGUCAGGAGGAGCUCAGUUUGGGUGGGGAUGGGGCUCUGCUGAAUGUGUGAGAGUCCAUCAGACCAGGGACUGGCUGGGAGCCCGGAGCCUGCUCUCUUUUAGGAGCUCUGGAGACGGUGGGUUAUUGCCAGCCAGUACAACCUGGGUAGCAGAGUUGGGGUGGAGGUGGGGUCUAAAUCCUUGACUGGAAGCGAGGAACUACCAAAUCUUAACCAGAAUCUUCUUUCCCCACUGGUGACAUGGAAAAGGGGUUGGGGAGGGAAUUAGACCAAGCAUUUCUCCCUCUAGGCUUGAAAUAACCCAUAACCCCCUGGUGGAAUUAUGCCUCAGGAAAGAUCUGAACUGGAAGGUGGUUUUCUAGGGCUUUGUUUGGAAAAGAUCUGGGUUGUUGGUGCUAAACUCUGGGUUUACUGGGCCAUUGAGAGUGGUAGCUAGUCAGGUCUCUCCACCUUCCCUAGCAGAAGCCAAGGUCAUGCUGAAUGGGAAAGAGUUGCAUAAAAACAUUUCUUCAGAGGUGUAAGUUUAAAAUACUCCCAUUCUGGAGUUUGGAAAAUGGAGAAUGAAGUGCCAGGAAAGUAGGGUUCGGGAAUACCCUGGGAUGGGAUCUUGCCUCAGUGAACUAGUGGAACAACUCAUUUGGAGCAAGACUGUAGUGACUGCUGAAGCCAAGGAGUUGGGAAUGAAUGGUAACUAGUCAACCCUGGCUUGCCACUCCAAGCUAGGCUGGUCAUGUGGAGACUUGGUUUCUGGCUCCUGCUACUGCAGGGAAGGCAAGAAACCCUUUCAAAAAAUGGCUUUUAUUUAUUUUGCCCCUUCCUCUCUCUCCAGAACUAUGAACUUCCUUACAACAGAUUUGGAAAUGUCCAGUUAUCAUUUCUAUUCUAAAAAAACCUCAUUUAAAAUAAGUUAAGGAAUGCUUUUUUGCCCUUAAAAAGAAAUGAAAAUGUUUGUGUAGGCUCUGCUUCCUUCAAAUGGUAAUUUUCAGCAGGGUGUUAAGAUUUUAUUCCAUUCCUUCAAACACACAGUGUUCCAGGCAUUGUGGUACAGUGAAAAGGGGUCAGAGGAUCUGUGUCUUCUGCUUAUUCUCUCUAUCAUCUUAUGUGCAAGUCACUUGGCUGAGUUUGUGACUGAGUUUCCUCUUUUGUAAAAUGUUGGGGUUGGACUAGACCAGUGGUAUUAUACUCAAAUAGAAAUAGAGACCAGUGGUCUACACAUGAGGAUCCUUUCACAUAAGAUAUUGACUUAGUUUAAAAAUGUAAUAUUAUGGGGAUUUUAAUUUAUUUUCUUAAAUAUUUCCCAAUUACAUUUUAAUCUGGUCCCAAGGGUACUUGGAGAUGUUGUAGACUACAUGAGGAUGUUUGGACCUCUGGGGUCAGUUCAAUUCAAUAAACAUUCAUUAAGCAUCUAAGAACA
rnacentral:lncRNA from 1 species